rnacentral:rRNA from 1 species
GUUUGAUCUUGGUUCAGGACGAACGCUGGCGGCAUGCCUAAUACAUGCAAGUCGAGCGGACUUGAAGAGAAGCUUGCUUCUCUGAUGGUUAGCGGCGGACGGGUGAGUAACACGUAGGCAACCUGCCCUCAAGCUUGGGACAACUACCGGAAACGGUAGCUAAUACCGAAUACUUGCUUCCUUCGCCUGAAGGGAGCUGGAAAGACGGAGCAAUCUGUCACUUGAGGAUGGGCCUGCGGCGCAUUAGCUAGUUGGUGAGGUAACGGCUCACCAAGGCGACGAUGCGUAGCCGACCUGAGAGGGUGAUCGGCCACACUGGGACUGAGACACGGCCCAGACUCCUACGGGAGGCAGCAGUAGGGAAUCUUCCGCAAUGGGCGAAAGCCUGACGGAGCAAUGCCGCGUGAGUGAUGAAGGUUUUCGGAUCGUAAAGCUCUGUUGCCAGGGAAGAACGUCCUUGAGAGUAACUGCUCAAGGAGUGACGGUACCUGAGAAGAAAGCCCCGGCUAA